CCUACGGGUGGCAGCAGUGAGGAAUAUUGGUCAAUGGGUGGGAGCCUGAACCAGCCAAGUCGCGUGAGGGAAGACGGUCCUAUGGAUUGUAAACCUCUUUAGGCGGGGAGAAAUGCCGGGCACCUGUGCCCGGAGGGAGGGUUCCCGACGAAUCAGCAUCGGCUAACUCGGUGACCGCGCCCGCGGUAAUCCGGAGUAUGCGGGCGUUAUCGGGCUUGAUCGGGGUAAAGGGUUGCGUGGGCGGCGUAUAAUGUCAGCGGUAAAAGGUCCGGGCUCAACACGGGCCGGCCGUUGAAACUGGGGAUCUUGAGUGGGCGAGAGGUAAGCGGAAUGCGUGGUGGAGCGGUGAAAUGCAUAGAUAUCACGCAGAACUCCGAGUGCGAAGGCAGCAUACUGGCGCCCGACUGACGCUGAGGCACGAAAGCGUGGGGAUCGAACAGGAUUAGAUACCCGUGUAGUC
rnacentral:rRNA from 1 species